UAACCAGGAUUCCCCUAGUAACGGCGAGUGAAGCGGGAAGAGCUCAAGCUUAAAAUCUCUAUGCAAGUUUUGCAUGGCGAAUUGUAGUCUAUAGAGGCGCUGUCAGUGCAGCUAUUUGGGAUAAGUUCCUUGGAAGAGGACAGCAUCGAGGGUGAUACUCCCGUUUGUGCCUGAGUAGCUUGUGCGUACGACACGUUUUCUUUGAGUCGCGUUGUUUGGGACUGCAGCGCAAAGUAGGUGGUAAAUUCCAUCUAAAGCUAAAUAUUGGUGCGAGACCGAUAGCGAACAAGUACCGUGAGGGAAAGAUGAAAAGAACUUUGAAAAGAGAGUUAAAGAGUACCUGAAACUGCUGAAAGGGAAGCGAAUCGUAUCCAGUGUCUAUAAUCUGUAGCAUAUUUCAUUGGCGAGUAGGUGCGUGCAGUAUGUAAGAAGUGGUUUUCUGCUCUUUGUGCUGUUCUGCGUUUGCUUGUUGGUGCCCUGUGUUGCGGUGGGACGUCAGAGUCAGUUCGUAUGCUGUGAGAAAUGGCUACUGAGGAGGUAGGUUAGGAGCUUGCUCUUGGCUGUUAUAUCUUGGUAGUUAGUUGUCGUGGUUGGGACUGAGGUGCCUACAAUGUGCUUUAAAGUGUUUGGGACUCUCGUUUGGUUACCUGUUUGGAUAGCUUGCUAUGCUGACGGAGUGAUUGGUCGAUUGAGAUCUAGAGUAACUUUUGCCGUUCGGGACUUUGACGAAAUGGAGCGAUUCGGCCCGUCUUGAAAC
rnacentral:rRNA from 1 species